rnacentral:rRNA from 1 species
GACGGUACCUGAAGAAAAAGCAUCGGCUAACUCCGUGCCAGCAGCCGCGGUAAUACGAAGGAUGCAAGUGUUAUCCGGAAUCAUUGGGCGUAAAGGGUCCGCAGGUGGCCAAUCAAGUCGGCUGUUAAAGACCGGGGCUUAACUCCGGGCAGGCAGUGGAAACUGAUUAGCUAGAGUACGGUAGGGGUAGAGGGAAUUCCCAGUGUAGCGGUGAAAUGCGUAGAUAUUGGGAAGAACACCGGUGGCGAAAGCGCUCUACUAGGCCGAAACUGACACUGAGGGACGAAAGCUAGGGUAGCGAAAGGGAUUAGAUACCCCUGUAGUCUUAGCUGUAAACGAUGGAUACUAGGUGUAGCUCGUAUCGACCCCAGCUGUGCCGAAGCUAACGCGAUAAGUAUCCCGCUUGGGGAGUACGCACGCAAGUGUGAAACUCAAAGGAAUUGACGGGGGCCCGCACAAGCGGUGGAGUAUGUGGUUUAAUUCGAUGCAACGCGAAGAACCUUACCAGGGCUUGACAUGUCGCGAAUCUAGCGGAAACGUUAGAGUGCCUUAGGGAAUGCGAACACAGGUGGUGCAUGGCUGUCGUCAGCUCGUGUCGUGAGAUGUUGGGUUAAGUCCCGCAACGAGCGCAACCCUCGUCCUUAGUUGCCAAUAUUAAGUUAGGCACUCUAGGGAUACUGCCGGGGACAACCCGGAGGAAGGUGGGGAUGACGUCAAGUCAGCAUGCCCCUUACGUCCUGGGCGACACACGUACUACAAUGGUUGGGACAAAGGGCAGCAAGCUCGCGAGAGUAAGCGAAUCUCAUCAAACCCAGCCACAGUUCAGAUUGCAGGCUGCAACUCGCCUGCAUGAAGUAGGAAUCGCUAGUAAUCGCAGGUCAGCAUACUGCGGUGAAUUCGUUCCCGGGCCUUGUACACACCGCCCGUCACACCAUGGAAGCUGGCUACGCCCGAAGUCGUUACCCUAACCCUAAGGGGAGGGGGAUGCCGAAGGUAGAGCUAGUGACUGGGGUGAAGUCGUAACAAGGUAGCCGUACCUGAAGGUGUGGCUGGAUCACCUCCUUU